CAGUAGCCGCGGUAAUACGUAGGUCCCGAGCGUUGUCCGGAUUUAUUGGGCGUAAAGGGAGCGCAGGCGGUUUAGUAAGUCUGGAGUUAAAGGCAUUGGCUCAACCAAUGUAUGCUUUGGAAACUGUUAGACUUGAGUGCAGAAGGGGAGAGUGGAAUUCCAUGUGUAGCGGUGAAAUGCGUAGAUAUAUGGAGGAACACCGGUGGCGAAAGCGGCUCUCUGGUCUGUCACUGACGCUGAGGCUCGAAAGCGUGGGUAGCGAACAGGAUUAGAUACCCCUGUAGUCCCUGUCUCUUAUACA
rnacentral:rRNA from 1 species